rnacentral:rRNA from 1 species
AGUGAACGCUGGCGGUAGGCCUAACACAUGCAAGUCGAACGGCAGCACAGUAAGAGCUUGCUCUUACGGGUGGCGAGUGGCGGACGGGUGAGGAAUACAUCGGAAUCUACUUUUUCGUGGGGGAUAACGUAGGGAAACUUACGCUAAUACCGCAUACGACCUACGGGUGAAAGCAGGGGAUCUUCGGACCUUGCGCGAUUGAAUGAGCCGAUGUCGGAUUAGCUAGUUGGCGGGGGAAAGGCCCACCAAGGCGACGAUCCGUAGCUGGGCUGAGAGGAUGAUCAGCCACACUGGAACUGAAACACGGUCCAGACUCCUACGGGAGGCAGCAGUGGGGAAUAUUGGACAAUGGGCGCAAGCCUGAUCCAGCCAUACCGCGUGGGUGAAGAAGGCCUUCGGGUUGUAAAGCCCUUUUGUUGGGAAAGAAAAGCAGCAGGUUAAUACCCCGCUGUUCUGACGGUACCCAAAGAAUAAGCACCGGCUAACUUCGUG